UACGGAGGGGGCGAGCGUUAUUCGGAAUUAUUGGGCGUAAAGGGCGCGUAGGCGGCCGGAUAAGUCAAAGGUGAAAUCCCUCGGCUCAACUGAGGAACUGCCUUUGAAACUGUUUGGCUCGAGUCCGGGAGGGGGUAGCGGAAUUCCCAGUGUAGCGGUGAAAUGCGUAGAUAUUGGGAGGAACACCAGUGGCGAAGGCGGCUACCUGGACCGGAACUGACGCUGAUGCGCGAAAGCGUGGGGAGCAAACAGG
rnacentral:rRNA from 1 species